UUUUGCACUAGGCCCCUUCUGUAGUUGCUGUUUUCCCUCUCCUCGGGGCAGAGCUGUUUGCCUUUGGCCACGGGUGAGGUGAGGGAUUUUUGGAGCCUCGACCCUCCCAGCAGGUGAGUGUGUAUGCAGCUACUCCGUGGAGCUUCCCUUCGCAGCCCGAGUGGGAAUGGAGGCCAGAUCCCCCUGGGGUUUCUGGAUCACAACCCUCUUUUUCCGAGUGGUUCUGCGCGGCCUGGGCCCGGGAGCAGCCGGGAGGCCGGGGGAUGAGGAGGGAGGAAGCAUUCCUUGCUGCUACAUUCACAAAGCUCCUGGCACCAGCCAGCUCCUCCUGAAACCGCUCCAGACUCUGAAUCAUUUCUGUUGGGAAACCAUUCAUGCCCCAGCCUGAGCCCCAGCUGACUCCUCACAGCCCCCAAAAGCACUGGCAGCAGCCUCUGAUGCUGCUCGGCUUGUCUUGGGCUGACACCACGGCCCUCUGUUGUUCUUGGGCACUGUUUUCCCUGCAUCAUUUUGUAGUCCCUGCCAGUUUGUAAAGAACUGGACUCAAACUCCAGCUCUGUUUGCUCACUUGCCCUUAAUGCUGUGCUUGUCCCUCAGUGAGGAGAGAGGCAGCUUUGCUGUUUUGUGUGGCUGUGUUUUCUCUCCUCAUCUCUGGUGCUGCCUUACAGGGCCUGUCAGCACAAAAAAACCCCCACAGUUUGUAAAGCUGUGGAUAUUUUAAAGAAACACAGAAGAUGAAAAUACAUAUUCAGGCUCUAAGGUGCUUCUCCAGUAGCAAGGCCGGGGUUGUCCCCUGUGGGGGCUCAGAGGGUGUGGGCAGGAUCUGAGAUUUGAGAUGUGUUCCUGCAGCCUGAAGCCCCUGUGGGGUGGGUAUGUCAGACCAGUCAUGCAGGUACCUGCUGAACAGCAGCAGGCAUGUUUCAGUGUUUAAAUCACCUCCCUGCUCCUCUCUCAAGGGAUGAUUCAGGGUGAUUGAUCACUUGGAGCUGGCUGUGAGGGCAGCCCUGGCUGUGUCCUCACUGGCACAGCAGAGCUUCAAAAAAAGCUGAUUUUUACCCUUAAAGCCACUGCCUGUUGCAACUCCUCUGUCUUUUAGAUUUUCUCCUUUCAUUGUCAGUGGGAGAAUCCCCCGGAGCUUUCUGGAGCUUUCCACAGGAAUUUGCACCCAGCUAAUUUGGAAGUCUUGGAUUUCUCAGCUUGGGGCUUGUUUUUCAUGUGUGAGCUGAUUAGAAGUGAGUUUGGGUUUCGUUUCUCCACUCUCCUAAAUCUUGGACAGGUAUUUUAGCUGCUGUUGGUUGAUGGCAAAAUCAUCCUUUGAAAUUCUGGAGUAAAUGACAUAGAUGGAAGAUCAAGAGCAAUGAGAAAUGAAGCUGUGCCAGUGCAAGAAGAGAGAAAAAACAGUGGAAUUAUGUCCUUAGCAAGCAAGGCAGAGACACAAGUGAAGGCUGAUGCUGGGUGACAGUAUAUCGCAGAUCAACCUGCCCCAGUUUCCAGGAAUAUUCAGAGUUUUAUGUAUAAUAAAAAGUCCAGGACUAGAACUCUAAAGCUGGGCUAAACACUUAGCCCUUUAGCUGGGCUAAAAAGGGCUUUCUGUAGCCCUUUUGUGUCUCAAUUUCCCCACCUGUAAAGUUGGACAAUGGUAAUUUCCUCCCAAAAAGCUGCCAGUGCUGGCUGGAAGCUGCUCUGUGUUACAGCACUGAGGAAACAGUGGCUAUUAUUAAUAAUGCCUCGUAUUUUUUCAACCUUCUGCAUAACUAAAUUUUGUUUGUUUUGUUUUUUAAAACUUGGAAUCGAUAGCUGGACCAAAUUAUAGCUGGAAGCUGAGAGCUAUAAGAAAAGACAUCCAAAUGCUGCUCAGUUUGUUCUGUAAAGGACAGAACUGCUGAGGCUGCAUCACUUGUGGCUCCUGAGCCCGGUGCCAGCACACAGAAUUCCCUCCUUACAGCUUUUCCAUAGCACGUGCCAAGUAUCCAGCCCCUCAGUCUGUUAUAAAUCAUCCCUAAUUCUGUAAUUGCUUUGCUAGUGAUUGUAGGCAGACUCUGGUUGAUCCUUCAGUGGUUUUCCUUUAUCCACGUUUUCAGUGGGCUCUUUAAUUGUUGAUUCUGUUUUCCAGUUCCUUGCUCCCCUUUCCCAGUUCUAGCAGGCCCCAUGGCUCCAGUCCAGUGUUUUCCCUGCGAGAGACGAGGCAGAGCCCCCUGUGAAUUUGGGGCUGCUUUUCCCUCAGGAGCUGUCAGGGGAAGGGGCACCUCGUGCCUUGAAGGCAGGCAAACGUGUAAGGUCAUGCAGGUAGGAAUAUGCUCUGAAUCACUCUCACAGGGCUGGGAGCUGCACCCAGGGCUGGGUUUGGAAAUCACAGCAGGCACGGUUAAGCAGAGCUCGCAGCACGGCUGUGCCAUUCCCUGCCUAGCCAGGGAUGUCUCUACACAGGCACAGGAGCAAACAAACAGUCGUGCCUGGCUUGUUGGCACGGGCUCAGCCUGCAGCCAGGCUGGUUGGUGCUGCUGAGGAGGUCAGGAGAGCUGCUGUGUGGUCCCUCUGCCUCGCCCAGAGCAGCAAGCCUGGCUUUUCACUGUGUCUCUGCUCCCUUCUCCCCCCUCCCUAGGGGUGCAUAUUCACUUCUCUAAAUGGCACUUGUGAAAAUGCCCUGGGGAAAGGCCCUGCCCUGGGUUAGGUGUGAUGCUGGGUGAAAAUUAGGGAUCCUUUCACUUGGUGGCAAGUAAGAUCCAGAUCCCUUCUGUACCACUUGGGAAGGAUGUGACUGACACAAAGCUGAGGUUGUUGCUUAAGUCCCAUAGUUUCAACUCAAACUCAGACCAUAAAAGCCAUAAACCAGGGUUCUUUAUUUGUGAAAAAUGGAUUAAGCUGUGAGAGGCUUGAGAGUUUGACUUUGACCUGCUUUUGUUUUUUAAACUUGCAGUUAGAUUCUGAAAUGCUUAGCUGGCAGUUCUGAAAGCAGCUCAGGGAUUUUACAAUGAUUCUUGGAGGGGGGUGGGGGAUGUAUUCAUGUGGGUCAGCUCAUGAGCCACCUUGAAGUGUUUUGUUUUCAGAAACUGGAGCUAUUGAAAAUGGAAAACACUUAUGACCUUUCAUUCAGACUUCCCUUAUAUUCAGGGAUUUUCCUUCUAUUGAAUGGGCAUUGACUACUGCCUUUAAUUUUUAUUUUCUUGUCUGUUAAUGCCCUCUUCAACUUUAAUUUCAGGUUGGAGCAUUCUCUUGCCUAAGCAAUCUAUGAAAAUGGCCAUCUGAUGUACCUUGUGGUUGAGCAGAUGCUAUCUUGUUUGGUAAUGAAAUUCUGCCCUGAGUAAUUGGACAUUCUUCCUGGUUCCUCAUAAUUAAGGCAGAAGAAAAGAACAAAAUCUGCUGAUUUGAUACAAGUAAUUGCUUCAUUAAGUUAUUUGCUUCCUUACCAUAACCAUCACCCCAACAGGAGCAGCCUCACCAGAUCAUACAGGAUGAUCCUUUAGUGCUGUGGGGUUUUUGGUGCUUCCUUGUCAGAUGGAAUCACAGGGGAAAAAGGAAACACACAGCUAAAUUAUUUACCUCUUAACCAUAUGCAGUUAAGACCACAGAGGGCCUGGCUGUGCUGUGUCCUAAGCAAAUGAAUCAACCUCUGGAAAAAGCACAGAGAGAGAGAGUGAUGAGGCUUUAGGUCACCACAGCUGCCUGGCCUCCUGCAUCUGAGCAUUGUGGAUUGAUGCUGACAGGCUGAACAUCUGUGUUUUCCUACUGUGGAGGAAGAAGGGCAGAGAGCUGCAUGAAAUCCUGCCCAGUGGCAAGGAAAUGUGAUUCAGGACUGGACUAUGGUGAGUUUAACAGUGCUGGUGGCUUGUGCCAUUGCUGUUGUUUGUGUUUAGCCAUCCUGGGUUUGGCAGUCAGGUUUGCACAGACAUCUGGGGACACAGGGACUUACAGGUGGCCAUACUGUCCCCAGUGACACUGAGGACAGGGAAAUAGGUGUGUUCACAUGCUAAAUUACACAGAUUUAGCUGAGAUCUCAGCCAUGAUUUCCAGUAGGAGAUUAUUCCACAUCCAUGUGGACCUGAGCUGCUCCCACACACAUCCCAUCACCCUAUCUCCAUGGUUCAGUGGGUUUGGUGCUCAUCAAUAACAGGUCACCCCAACUGCACACCAAUAAACCUACCCCUGAUUUCCUACUUGCAAGCUUGAGAAUCAGGCUGCUGCAUCACAUGAUUCCUAUGUGCCUCCAGAUGAAGUCAGGGCUUGGAGGAUUUUUGGAUGUGAAUUCCACUGAAUUAUCCCCAAGUGCUGCAGAAAGCAGUUCCAGGUCACUGCCAAUCAGUCCUGCAGAGCUCUGCAUGAACAGCCUGUAUGAUCCAGGAAUGCUAUCAGGGACUUUGAUCAUCGAGCUGAUUCCUAUCUCCCUCUCCAAGAUCUGGGCAGGCAUCUUGCUGUCCUGGGCAUCAGCACCGGGAAUUGGGCACGGACAGUGGGAAUUGUGCCCUGCAAAGGAGCACGGGCUGAGCUGUGCCACCAGCAGCCAGUCUGAGCUCCCCCAGUGGAAGUGAGCAGGUCCAGUGGGGUGACUGAACUCCUGGCCCUUCCUUCUGGCUUAGUGAAUCCCAGCUUUUGGAUUCUGGGCCACUUGUGCCCACCAGUCAAUGCCUUGGAACACCAGGAACCCUGAGCCUGACCACACAUUCUUCUGGGAAAACUCCAUCCUCCUCCUCUUUUGCGAGAGAAGCUUGCUCAGAGAGGCUGAAUGAGUCAGUCAGAGAGGCAGUGACACAGCCCAGCAUUCCCAAAUGUCUCAGGACAUUUGUCCUCUCUUCUAGGUAGCCACUCCAAGGCAUCCCAGCCAAUGCUUUUCCUGCCUGCAACAACUCUAACACACGUGCUGCAGAAAGAACCAGCUGCUGAGGGCACCACAGCUGGGCCAGGCUCUGCAGCUGCUGCAGGAGGUGCAACAUUUGCAGCACCAGGGGCUGCAGGUGCUGCUGGGCUCAGAGCAGCCUGCCCUGGCUCAUCCCUCCAAAGGUCAGUGUGUGUGUGUGGGGCU